CUCGCCCCGGCAGAGUGCGCGCUGCGCCGGGAGUGCGACCCGCAGACCCCAGCUGCGCUUCCUCUGUGCCCUCCCGGCUCUCCUCCCAGGCUUGGUAAACCAAACUGGAGCGAUUAAGGCGCCCUUUCCAAUUUUACAAAGGACAUCCAGGCUGCCGCUAAGGCCCAAGUAGCCCCAGCAGGAAUAAAAAUAAGACCAAGUAAGCAGGAGCGGCUGCAGGCGGCGGGGCGGCUCGGGCUCCUCCAGGCUGGUAGCCGGCGUCCGCGGCCACUCCCCCGGCCUGGGUCUUCCCCGGAACCCCACUUGCGGGCUAAUGGAGAGAAUCCGCGUCCUGGCUUUCGACAGCCAAGGUGAUGGGGUGGCCCAGAGACUCCUCCGGAGGGUGAAAUGUUCGGUGACUGGAUCGGAGAAGUUGGCUUCCACGCCGGGUGGAUCGCACUCUCUUGGAAUUCAACGCCCAGAGGAGACAGUGGUCAAAUUCGUUGUUGCAGCCUCUUCUAAUGUGAUUGCACAUACUCAAGAAGACCAGAACACACUGGAGCAGCCUAUCCCUGUGUGAAAUGGAAGCUGGUCAGUAAAGAUGAGCCUCUUUACCCCAAAGUUAAAGAAUAUCAAUCUUUACUUUUUCUUUCCACAGGGCUCCAAAUGAUUAUUUAGGCAGACACACACGCACACACGCACACACAACAAACACGUACAAACUAAACUCCCAUAAUGAGAAAUGAAAUAAAAGUCCUGAAAAAAUACAGGUGACUGUUAACAUGACUAUAAAUAUAUCCAAGGGUUCCAGGGACACCAUAAAACAGUCAAACUUUGCUUUAUUUUAUGCCAGUAGAUUUAUUUAUAGUCACAUAAUUCCUCCUUCUGCUCAUUUAUUUAAGAAAGCCAUCCU
rnacentral:lncRNA from 1 species